GGGAUUAAUGGUUAAAUGUUUGAAUUUAAAAAUAAAUAUGCUUUUUAUUAACGCUACCUUGACAUGGUAGGGGUCGGCGAUUCGAGUUCGCCCGGACCCACCA
rnacentral:tRNA from 2 species